UACGAAGGGGGCUAGCGUUGCUCGGAAUCACUGGGCGUAAAGCGCACGUAGGCGGACUCUUAAGUCGGUGGUGAAAUCCUGGAGCUCAACUCCAGAACUGCCUUCGAUACUGGGAGUCUUGAGUCCGGGAGAGGUGAGUGGAACUGCGAGUGUAGAGGUGAAAUUCGUAGAUAUUCGCAAGAACACCAGUGGCGAAGGCGGCUCACUGGCCCGGUACUGACGCUGAGGUGCGAAAAGCGUGGGGGAGCAAACAGGG
rnacentral:rRNA from 1 species